UCCGUAGGUGAACCUGCGGAAGGAUCAUUAAUAGUGCCCUCUGAUGCAAAUCAUUGGGUUAGAUCUGCUCUCUUCGCAAGAAGAGGGUUUCCAUACACACCGUGAACUGUGGCUUCGGCCAUCACAAACUGUUAGUAAUGAAUGUAAUAUCAUAACAAAAACAAAACUUUUAACAACGGAUCUCUUGGCUCUCGCAUCGAUGAAGAACGCAGCGAAAUGCGAUAAGUAAUGUGAAUUGCAGAAUUCAGUGAAUCAUCGAAUCUUUGAACGCACCUUGCGCUCCCUGGUAUUCCGGGGAGCAUGCCUGUUUGAGUGUCAUGAAAACCCUCAACCUUAGAUUGGUUAACACCUUUCUUUGGCUUGGAUUUGGACGUUUGCCGAUGAUAAAUCGGCUCGUCUUAAAAGUAAUAGCUGGAUCUGUCUCGCGACAUGGUUUGACUUGGCGUAAUAAGUAUUUCGCUAAGGACAUCUUCGGAUGGCCGCGUUGCAAGACUAAAGACCGCUUUCUAAUCCAUUGAUCUUCGGAUUAAUAUUCUUGACAUCUGGCCUCAAAUCAGGUAGGACUACCCGCUGAACUUAAGCAUAUCAAUAAGCGGAGGA
rnacentral:rRNA from 1 species